GACAGAGGGUGCAAACGUUGCUCGGAAUUACUGGGCGUAAAGCGCGUGUAGGCUGACCGGAAAGUCGGGCGUGAAAGCCCUGGGCUCAACCCAGGAACUGCACUCGAAACUCCCGGUCUAGAGUGGUGGAGAGGGAAGUGGAAUUCCUGGUGUAGAGGUGAAAUUCGUAGAUAUCAGGAGGAACACCGGUGGCGAAGGCGGGUCUCUGGGCCGAUACUGACGCUGAGGAGCGAAAGCGUGGGGAGCGAACAGG
rnacentral:rRNA from 1 species